AACGCAGAUGGCGCUCUCGGGAUAGACCUGGGAGCAUGCCUCUUCGAGUGUCGAUUCAAUCAAACCCAGCGACUUGCUUUAUUGUGAGUGCAGCUGAAAAUUGAGUGUCUCACGAAAGUGUGUCACUUUAAGCGGAGCGAGUCUCCUUUUCUCUAGCGCCUGAUAAGAGUUCAUUCUCUUGUCUAGCCUGAGUCUAAGUUUUGCUUAUGCAAACUAAGCCUGCUAGUGAUGCGGAUAAUCACGCUUAUGUGUGUUCCAACAUGACUUUCAGGGGUAGUGAGUUGAGCAAAGGACUUUAGUGUCAGCUGGAUUCGGUGCGAAAACGCAAGAGAUCUGUGUUAGACGGACUGAGGACCCGUAGCGAUACGCGGAACUCAAUCACUCUUUGACUUAGACCUCGAAUGAAGCAAGACAACCCGCCGAACUUAA
rnacentral:misc_RNA from 1 species